AAACCAACAGGGAUUGCCUCAGUAACGGCGAGUGAAGCGGCAAAAGCUCAAAUUUGAAAUCUGGCCUCUGGUCCGAGUUGUAAUUUGAAGAAGCGACUUUGGUACCGGCUCUUGUCUAUGUUCCUUGGAACAGGACGUCACAGAGGGUGAGAAUCCCGUGCGAUGAGAUGCCCGGUGCCGUGUAAAGCGUUUUCGACGAGUCGAGUUGUUUGGGAAUGCAGCUCUAAGUGGGUGGUAAAUUCCAUCUAAAGCUAAAUAUUGGCGAGAGACCGAUAGCGAACAAGUACAGUGAUGGAAAGAUGAAAAGAACUUUGAAAAGAGAGUGAAAAAGUACGUGAAAUUGUUGAAAGGGAAGGGCUUGAGAUCAGACUUUGUAUUUCCAUGGCGCUCUCUCGGGGGUGUCCUCUGGGUUUACAGGGCCAGCAUGGGUUCUGCGGGCGAGAUAAGGACCUGGGAAUGUGGCUCUACUUCGGUGGAGUGUUAUAGCCCAGGGUACUGGUCGCCACGCGGGACCGAGGACUGCGAAUCUAGGAUGCUGGCAUAAU
rnacentral:rRNA from 1 species